rnacentral:rRNA from 2 species
GUCAAUGGCCUAACGGCUGAACUGGCAACUUGGAGAAGUGGCAAGUCUUCCAGUAUGGGGAGCAAAACAGCUAUGGGUCAAGUCCGAUAUCUUUAGGAGAAGUCUUAUUGUGAGGGCGAGUUAUAUAACACCAUAGGACUGGCCGUCCCAUAUGAAAAGAUUAUAUUAGAAUUGAAUGAAGCUUUGUUUAUAUAUUGAUAAUGACAGUAUAUAUAUCGUGUCUUGACUAAUUGCGUGCCAGCAGUCGCGGUAAUACGUAAGAGACUAGUGUUAUUCAUCUUAAUUAGGUUUAAAGGGUACCCAGACGGUCAAUAUAGCUUAUAAAAUGUUAGUACUUGACUAGAGUUUUAUGUAAGAGGGCAGUACUUGAGGAGGAGAGAUGAAAUUUCGUGAUACCAAAGGGACUCUGUAAAGGCGAAGGCAGCCCUCUAUGUAAAAACUGACGUUGAAGGACGAAGGCACAGAGAACAAACAGGAUUAGAUACCCAAGUAGUCUUUGCAGUAAAUGAUGAAUGCCAUAGGUUAGAUUGGUCAAUUAUAGUCUAGGGUUAGUCUAGCAAACUAAUACCCUAUGCUAUAAUCCUAAUAUCUGGUCUAUAAAUGAAAGUGUAAGCAUUUCACCUCAAGAGUAAUGUGGCAACGCAGGAACUGAAAUCACUAGACCGUUUCUGACACCAGUAGUGAAGUAUGUUAUUUAAUUCGA